rnacentral:rRNA from 1 species
CUACGUGCCAGCAGCCGCGGUAAUACGUAGGGUGCAAGCGUUAAUCGGAAUUACUGGGCGUAAAGAGUGCGCAGGCGGUUUUGCAAGACCGAUGUGAAAUCCCCGGGCUUAACCUGGGAACUGCAUUGGUGACUGCAAGGCUAGAGUGUGUCAGAGGGAGGUGGAAUUCCGCAUGUAGCAGUGAAAUGCGUAGAUAUGCGGAGGAACACCGAUGGCGAAGGCAGCCUCCUGGGAUAACACUGACGCUCAUGCACGAAAGCGUGGGGAGCAAACAGGAUUAGAUACCCUGGUAGUCCACGCCCUAAACGAUGUCUACUAGUUGUCGGGGAUUAAUUUCCUUGGUAACGCAGCUAACGCGUGAAGUAGACCGCCUGGGGAGUACGGUCGCAAGAUUAAAACUCAAAGGAAUUGACGGGGACCCGCACAAGCGGUGGAUGAUGUGGAUUAAUUCGAUGCAACGCGAAAAACCUUACCUACGCUUGACAU